rnacentral:rRNA from 1 species
AUUGAACGCUGGCGGCAGGCCUAACACAUGCAAGUCGAACGAGUGGCGGACGGGUGAGUAAUGUCUGGGAAACUGCCUGAUGGAGGGGGAUAACUACUGGAAACGGUAGCUAAUACCGCAUACCAUCGGAUGUGCCCAGAUGGGAUUAGCUAGUAGGUGGGGUAACGGCUCACCUAGGCGACGAUCCCUAGCUGGUCUGAGAGGAUGACCAGCCACACUAGAACUGAGACACGGUCCAGACUCCUACGUGAGGCAGCAGGGGAGAAUAUUGCACAAUGGGCGCAAGCCUGAUGCAGCCAUGCCGCGUGUAUGAAGAAGUCCUUCGUGUUGUAAAGUACUUUCAGCGGGGAGGCGUUACCCGCAGAAGAAUCACCGGCUAACUCCGUUCCAGCCGCCGCGGUAAUUC